rnacentral:rRNA from 1 species
UAGGGAAUCUUCGGCAAUGGACGGAAGUCUGACCGAGCAACGCCGCGUGAGUGAAGAAGGUUUUCGGAUCGUAAAGCUCUGUUGUAAGAGAAGAACGAGUGUGAGAGUGGAAAGCUCACACUGUGACGGUAUCUUACCAGAAAGGGACGGCUAACUACGUGCCAGCAGCCGCGGUAAUACGUAGGUCCCGAGCGUUGUCCGGAUUUAUUGGGCGUAAAGCGAGCGCAGGCGGUUAGAUAAGUCUGAAGUUAAAGGCUGUGGCUUAACCAUAGUACGCUUUGGAAACUGUUUAACUUGAGUGCAAGAGGGGAGAGUGGAAUUCCAUGUGUAGCGGUGAAAUGCGUAGAUAUAUGGAGGAACACCGGUGGCGAAAGCGGCUCUCUGGCUUGUAACUGACGCUGAGGCUCGAAAGCGUGGGGAGCAAACAGGAUUAGAUACCCUGGUAGUCCACGCCGUAAACGAUGAGUGCUAGGUGUUAGACCCUUUCCGGGGUUUAGUGCCGCAGCUAACGCAUUAAGCACCCCGCCUGGGGAGUACGACCGCAAGGUUG